CAAAGGCAUGGUCCCGACCUUACUAUCCACUAUUACCCAACUUACACAUGCAAGUAUCCGCACCCCCGUGAGUAUGCCCUCCACUCCCCGCCCGGGAAUUAGGAGCGGGUAUCAGGCGCACUUUAAACCCCAGCCCAAGACGCCCAGCCAAGCCACGCCCUCAAGGGAAUUCAGCAGUGAUAAACAUUAAGCCAUGAGUGCAAGCUCGACUUAGUCAGGGCUAACAGGGCCGGUAAAACUCGUGCCAGCCACCGCGGUUAGACGAGAGGCCCCAGUUGAUAGUAUCACGGCGUAAAGGGUGGUCAAGGGCUUAAACUUAAUAAAGCUAAAUGGCCCCUCGGCCGUCAUACGCUUCUAGGUGCUAGAGACCCGAUAUACGAAAGUAGCUUUAAUAACCCCCGCCUGACUCCACGAAAGCUGAGGAACAAACUGGGAUUAGAUACCCCACUAUGCUCAGCCAUAAACCCAGACAUUUAAAUACAACUAACUGUCCGCCAGGGUACUACGAGCAUUAGCUUAAAACCCAAAGGACCUGACGGUGCCUCAGACCCCCCUAGAGGAGCCUGUUCUAGAACCGAUAACCCUCGUUAAACCUCACCACUUCUGGCCGUCCCAGCCUAUAUACCGCCGUCGCCAGCUUACCCUGUGAAGGAUAUAAAAGUAAGCAAAAUGGACAAACCCCAGAACGUCAGGUCGAGGUGUAGCGCAUGAAGUGGGAAGAAAUGGGCUACAUUUUCUUAUGAAGAACACUACGAAUGUGCAACAUGAAACAGUGCCUGAAGGAGGAUUUAGCAGUAAAAAGGAACAAGAGUGUCCUUUUGAACCCGGCUCUGAGACGCGUACACACCGCCCGUCACUCUCCCCUGUCAAAAUGCAAUUAUUAUACCUAAUGCAAAAGCACUGACAAGGGGAGGCAAGUCGUAACAUGGUAAGUGUACCGGAAGGUGCACUUGGAUAAACC
rnacentral:ncRNA from 1 species